rnacentral:rRNA from 1 species
UACAGAGGGGGCAAGCGUUAUUCGGAAUUAUUGGGCGUAAAGGGCGCGUAGGCGGCUUUUCAAGUGACGGGUGAAAUCCCUCGGCUUAACCGAGGAACUGCCUGUCAGACUGGAAGGCUUGAGACCGGGAGAGGUGAGUGGAAUUCCCAGUGUAGCGGUGAAAUGCGUAGAUAUCUGGAGGAACACCGGUGGCGAAGGCGGCAUCCUGGACCGGUAUUGACGCUGAGGCGCGAAAGCCAGGGGAGCAAACGGG